GUCCACGCCGUAAACGAUGAGUGCUAGGUGCUGCGGGUAUUGACCCCUGCGGUGCCGUAGCUAACGCGUUAAGCACUCCGCCUGGGGAGUACGGCCGCAAGGCUAAAACUCAAAGGAAUUGACGGGGGCCCCGCACAAGCGGUGGAGCAUGUGGUUCAAUUCGACGCAACGCGCAGAACCUUACCUGGGUUAAAUCCACUCGAAGUCGGCAGAGAUGCUGAUGUGCCUUUCGGGGAGCGAGUGAGAAGGUGCUGCAUGGCUGUCGU
rnacentral:rRNA from 1 species